GAUGAACGCUGGCGGCGUGCCUAAUACAUGCAAGUCGAGCGAACAGACGAGAAGCUUGCUUCUCUGAUGUUAGCGGCGGACGGGUGAGUAACACGUGGAUAACCUACCUAUAAGACUGGGAUAACUUCGGGAAACCGUAGCUAAUACCGGAUAAUAUUUUGAACCGCAGGGUUCAAAAGUGAAAGACGGUCUUGCUGUCACUUAUAGAUGGAUCCGCGCUGCAUUAGCUAGUUGGUAAGGUAACGGCUUACCAAGGCAACGAUGCAUAGCCGACCUGAGAGGGUGAUCGGCCACACUGGAACUGAGACACGGUCCAGACUCCUACGGGAGGCAGCAGUAGGGAAUCUUCCGCAAUGGGCGAAAGCCUGACGGAGCAACGCCGCGUGAGUGAUGAAGGUCUUCGGAUCGUAAAACUCUGUUAUUAGGGAAGAACAUAUGUGUAAGUAACUGUGCACAUCUUGACGGUACCUAAUCAGAAAGCCACGGCUAACUACGUG
rnacentral:rRNA from 1 species